CUUGGUCAUUUAGAGGAAGUAAAAGUCGUAACAAGGUUUCCGUAGGUGAACCUGCGGAAGGAUCAUUAUUGAAUGAACUUGGUGUGGUUGUCGCUGGCCCUCUUGGGGGCAUGUGCACACCUACCAUCCUCAUCUCUCCACCUGUGCACCUCUUGUAGAUUUGGAAUUGAUUAUCCGAGGCAACUCGGUCGUGAGGACUGCUAGCACUUAGCUGGCUUUCUUUGCAAUUCCAGGUCUAUGUUUUUCAUAUACCCCAUUGUAUGUAACAGAAUGUAUCAUUGGGCCUUGUGCCUAUAAACCUUAUACAACUUUCAGCAACGGAUCUCUUGGCUCUCGCAUCGAUGAAGAACGCAGCGAAAUGCGAUAAGUAAUGUGAAUUGCAGAAUUCAGUGAAUCAUCGAAUCUUUGAACGCACCUUGCGCUCCUUGGUAUUCCGAGGAGCAUGCCUGUUUGAGUGUCAUUAAAUUCUCAACCAUUAUCAACUUUUGCUGAUAAUGGCUUGGAUGUGGGGGUCUAUUUUGCUGGCUUCUCAGAUAGUCAGCUCCCCUUAAAUGCAUUAGCCGGUGCCCCGCGUGGACUGUCUAUUGGUGUGAUAAUUAUCUACGCUAUAGACAUCUGCAAUCAUAUGGGUUUGCGCUGCUUCUAACAGUCUGUUGAUUCAGACAAUACAUGACAAUUUGACCUCAAAUCAGGUAGGACUACCCGCUGAACUUAAGCAUAUCAAUAAGCGGGAGGA
rnacentral:rRNA from 1 species